rnacentral:rRNA from 1 species
GAUGAACGCUGGCGGCGUGCCUAAUACAUGCAAGUCGAGCGAACAGACGAGGAGCUUGCUCCUCUGACGUUAGCGGCGGACGGGUGAGUAACACGUGGAUAACCUACCUAUAAGACUGGGAUAACUUCGGGAAACCGGAGCUAAUACCGGAUAAUAUAUUGAACCGCAUGGUUCAAUAGUGAAAGACGGUUUUGCUGUCACUUAUAGAUGGAUCCGCGCCGCAUUAGCUAGUUGGUAAGGUAACGGCUUACCAAGGCAAUGAUGCGUAGCCGACCUGAGAGGGUGAUCGGCCACACUGGAACUGAGACACGGUCCAGACUCCUACGGGAGGCAGCAGUAGGGAAUCUUCCGCAAUGGGCGAAAGCCUGACGGAGCAACGCCGCGUGAGUGAUGAAGGUCUUCGGAUCGUAAAACUCUGUUAUUAGGGAAGAACAAAUGUGUAAGUAACUAUGCACGCCUUGACGGUACCUAAUCAGAAAGCCACGGCUAACUACGUG